GAUGAAGAACGUAGCGAACUGCGAUAAGUAAUGUGAAUUGCAGAAUUCAGUGAAUCAUCGAGUCUUUGAACGCACAUUGCGCCCCCUGGCAUUCCGGGGGGCAUGCCUGUCCGAGCGUCAUUGCUGCCCUUCAAGCCCGGCUUGUGUGUUGGGUCGUCGUCCCCCCCGGGGGACGGGCCCGAAAGGCAGCGGCGGCACCGCGUCCGGUCCUCGAGCGUAUGGGGCUUUGUCACCCGCUCGAUUAGGGCCGGCCGGGCGCCAGCCGGCGUCUCCAACCUUCUAUUUUACCAGGUUGACCUCGGAUCAGGUAGGGAUACCCGCUGAACUUAAGCAUAUCAAUAAGCGGAGA
rnacentral:misc_RNA from 1 species